CAGCAAAUUAUAACAAUGUUGAGUAGUAGGAGAAAUAGAAGCAAAUGAAAUAUAGCAAGGCCAUCAUGUGAGGAGGCAAGGCAUCAUCCUUAUAGCAAAGGCUCUCUCCCACUGCCUCGACCAGUGCUCGUAAGUGAAAUUUCUCUCUGGCAUUCUCUCAUAUCAGAGCCAAUGGCCCACGUGACAUUUUUUACAAUAUAGUCCCCCACCCCACCCAACUUCUGUCACCCUUCUUGCUGCAUGGCGAAUUGACAUCAAAGGCAGUACAGAGACAGUUUUGAGCAGUCUCUGUUCUACAGAAAUCAGUUAUUUGUGCUGCUGUUAUAUGCACAGCAGUCAACUAUGCAUGAUAUCUUGUUAAGUGAAUGGUAUCUUAUACACAAGAUUUCCUACACACAUAAUUAAUGUAUCUGCAUGCUUCCAUGGGGAAGAAGACAGUUGUUCCUAGUACCCAGCACUUGGCAAGAGCAAUUGCGCCAUAAGUCGUACAAAUAAAAUUGCAGAGUGCGUCAAUAACGACAUAUAUUAAAUAUUUUUCGCUUGACGGGAAUUGUAAGGAAGAUAGGCGCAUUUAUAUUGGACUACACACACACACACACGCACGUGUGAGCACACAUGUGAGCACAUAUGCAGGCACACGUGCUGCAGGUAUGCUCGAGACUUUAGAAAAUUUACCGGCAUACUUUUUAUGCCGCUGACCUGAACAGAUGUUUAGCGAAAUUCAAACCUUGGCUCAAUGACAGCAAUUAAUACUAAGGAAUGUACUCGGAAAUGAUGUGAACACACAAACAAUGGCAUUCAUGUACCUGCUUUUAUAUUUAUAUGUGGAUAAUAGCUGGAAAUUGCCACCUGUGACAAUGCAGAACCACUAAGAAUUACCUUUAUUAUGUUUGAUGGUUUUUCAGCCCAUUCUUUCAUGCUGUAUACAAUAGAACCUCGUUGAUACAAUCCCGCAUUGCUCUCGAUAAAUUUGUCCCUCUCGAUCACAAUAGAUUACUUGGUGCCAACAUUCGCGAUCGAGAACACAAAAAAUGAUUCAAAGAGCUACGCUUUUUUUACCGGUUCAUACGUUCCCGGACAACACGAUCUUUCAGCACCAGCGUUCAGUACAUCGCCAAACUGCGAUCGCAUUAUACGUUUUCCAACUAGAUCCAAUGUAAACAAGAAAAUGCGCGAAGCGCCCGCGAUCGAGAACAGUAGCCGCCCGCCACGGCAGCUUCACACCACUCGCCUGCACGUCUCGCGUGAAAACCCCGGCGUACACUCGGUUUCUUAUUCCGGUUCCAACAAAUCACCUGCCAGGUCAUCGCAAGCCGCAUUCACAGCUAUCGCCGCCAAUCCUAUUGUGAUAGGCAUCUUUGCUAUAUGUUUCACAGCGCAUGGUGCCGCUGGAAGAAUACUGCACGCAAAAUUUUAAUCAGCGAUAACCCAAACAUGCCGCGGUUUCCUGCUGCAGAUUGCGAUCAUAUACGUUUUCCGACCACUAGAGUCCAUGUAAACAAGAAAAUGGCGGGAGGCGCGCGAUCGAGAACAGUAGCCGCCCGCCGCAUCAACUUGCUCGCAAUACAUGCCCGCCCGUCUCACAUGAAAACGCCGGCGCGCGCUCAGUUUCUACCAGCGAAUCUCCUCCCGUGUCCUCGCACGCCGCAUUCACAGCUAUCGCCGCCAACCAUAAUGAGAUAAGCAUAUUCACCUGUUUCACAGCGCGUGGGGCGUAGUGCCGUCGGAAGCGCACUGCACACUUUUAGUAGGCGAUAACCCAAACGCGCCGCCGUUUCCUUCCGGCGGCAUCCGGCGUCGCCCACCAAUUCGAUUUCGUUUCGGGCUCCGUCACAGUCUUAAAACACAACGCAAUAGGGAAAACAAAACGCGUCUCGCACCUUCUGAGCCCCACCAGCUCAACGCGCGUCGGCCUCUCGUGCUGCAACGAUUCGCGCAUCGGUUCGCAUUACAUGUGUCUACAGCGAGUCUGUCAAAUUUUUGAGUUACUUCAGAUCGUACGUUUACCCAGUUAGUACGUUUUCUUCCAAAACGUAUCAACGAGGUUCUACUGUAUAUCUGACGUACACAUGCUAGUAAAGGAUUCACAGUUUGGAGCUGUAUAUCUUCAUUCUUUCUUGCAUUGUGUGUCACCAAAGCAGUGCAGUAAACUCUCCCCCCCCCCCCCCCCUCAAAAAAAAGAAAAAGCUGAGAUUAGUAUGUGAGCACUUCAUUCUCCUCCUAUGCAAACAUAAACAAUAUUUCCCCAAAUGAAAAUUUAAUACAAAUGAAAUUGAUUUCACAAACUCGAUUUUUUAGAUGAGCAAGAAAUGAUUUUGUGCCAUGAUAAACGUUCUGCUAUCAUAAAAAAAGCGUGGUGAAUUUCAUGUUUGUUUGACAAAACGGCGUUAUUUUGCCUGAACCAGCCAAACAUAGGCAAAUUUGAUUAUUGUAGGACAAAGUGAAAAAUUUCGAUAAAAUUUAAGACUAAAAAAUUUAAGCACAGAAGUAGAAUAAUUCAUUUCGUCCUAAAUGCUAUCUGCAAAAAUAACUACACAGGAAAAGAAAUCAAAUACACUAUUUCUUUAUGGUCAGUAGUGCAGCAACUGUGCAACCAAGAGCUAGUAGAAUCCAGACUUCCAUAUGAAAGGUGGAUUAUAACAGGUGUAUUUUUUUUAUGCGACGAGCACCACUUUUGAUAUACAAGACCUUAAAAUGUACUACGAAAUAUGCUGGUACUCUAGUUGACGUUUCCAUACGAUGUGCCUCUACCAUUCUGGGACAAUCUUAACUGAAACACCGAGGUAUAUUUUAGCAGAAUUUGGUGACAGAUAUCACGAAAGUGGUACUAGUUUUCUGCUAAGCAGACAUGACUUCACUACUCCUCGGCUUCAAUUUCGCAAUUACAAUAUGUGUCCUCUAAGGUUAGUAAUUAAAAAGUUAAUUACCAUGUAUUAGGUACUUAGCAAAAUGAUCAUUGAAAAGUUUCUUGUUGCUAGCCUUUUGCAUAUUUGCAAAAAUGGCAGGGCCAAGAUAACAGUUUCUUUUAGAAGUGUUACGCAUUAAAAUAAACACCUGGUAUAAAACUUUAUGCCUGUCAUCUUGAAUACACUCUUGCUCUAUACAUAAACAGCAAGCUCUCACUUACUGGGAGCACAUGUAUUUAGAACUCCCAUCACCACUACAAAAGGAGCAUUUCAAGAACACUGCACUUCUUGUAUAAUGUGGCUAGGUAAAAAGCUGGAAGCUGAACAAAACUAAAUAAAAAGGACAAGAGAAUGACAACAAAGAACAAGCCCAGUAGCCAAUACUUGUAUGAAUACUCAGAAGUUCAUUAGCAAGGGAACUUGCAGUCUACAGUGCGCACCUAAAAAAAGUAAUACUAAAACGAAAUAAUGUUUACCGCGCAUAGUUGGCUUUUUGUCUGUCUAGAAAACGAGCUUAGCACAUACAUUACCAGUGUAAAAUGAAAUGUGUUACACUGCAAUGUAAAAACUCUCAACUGCAAGAUAAUGGCAUAUGCUGUGUGACCAAGUUGUAACAAAUUUAACAAGGAUGACAAAUCACUUUGCUAUAGCCAGAUUCAGAUAGAGCAAGGACUUGUAAUAGAUAUAGGCUCAUGGUAGGACAUUUGAUAACGUCCAUAGUAGUUAUUGUGUUUGGUAUUUCACAAGGCUCCGUAGCAGUUCCUGCAACUUCCAAGGGUCUGAGAAAGCAUUUAUGCAAAGAAAGAUACUACACAACAGCACAUGCAUCUUUGCAUGCUACCUACGUCUAUUCACCACAUUCUCCUCUCUUCAAAGCCAUUUGCAGCAUUAGAGGAUAGUGGGUAUUGUGAUACAGCAAAAACAAGGUUAGUGAGAGUGCAUAUGCCCAGUCUUGCUUGGGUACUUUCUUAUGCAGAACCUACAUCGUCUGCUAAUUUUGUUUCCACCAUUUAAAAAACCGUAUUGUCGACAGUUUUAGGCAAUUGUCUAACAAAAGUAAUACGAAAACUGAGGAACUAUAAGCUUUGUGCUACAGUGUGCAGGCCAAGGAUCAUGCGAGUCAUCAAUGGAAUGCUUUCGAAGCACUAUGUAACAGUAUUUUGAACACGCGUAACAAUUUUCGUUCCAUUCAAUUAUCCCAGUGACAUGAGAUCUUUCAGAAUUGGAAGCAGAAUAAAGAAUUAAGGUAUAACUGCAUUCAGGGCUGCAUUUAAGGUGAAAGCUUUUUUCAUUGCAAUUUUGUGCCAUCUUUUGUAUUUUGCUCAACCACAAAGACAAUCACAGUUGGUACUGCUUGAGCCAAUAACUAAAGAACGAGUAGGACUAGAACACAAUUAUGACUUUGGCCCAAGGUUCACUUUAUGAUUACAGCUAUGAUUACAGCUAAAUGAUAUGGAGAGAAAUAAGGCAAAAGCAUGAAAACAGACAAAGGGCAUGAAACGGCAUUACAAAGAAAACUGACAGAAGAAAAAUGUACAUCUAAGUACCACUGUAUUAAUUAUGAGAAAUUCUUGGCAUGAAGAAAGCUCCUUCCAGGUGUCCAUUAAAAAGUUCACUAUAGAAGUCUGCUCUGAAGGCAAAUAAUUUUUUUUAUAAAUUUGACUGACGUUUUGAAACUUGCUUAACUGUCGUCGAAGUCAAACCAGUAAACUGUAACAAAUGUGUGGCACAUUACUAUCUGGCAAAGAAUGUAUUGAAACAUAAUUCUUAGAAUCAGUUUGGCUGGUGUGCAACAUGGUAUGGUGUCCUACUGGGGACAAAAAGUUCGCAGGGUGUAGCCUCUACAAGAAAGCUAAAUUCCCGUACUGUUUUGGUUCACACUUCCCGGGCCUUGCGAAAAUUUGGCUUACUUAACCCCAUAAUGAUUUGGAGUCGGCAAUUCAUGCAUGCCUGCAACAUUAUAAACAUAGUGCAAGACAAAACGAGACAAACAUAAUUUUUCUGAACGUAAUAAUUGUGGGUGGCCGCUAUACAUGCCUACGCUAAACACAAACUUUAUCCACACAAAUUUUAGGACAACAGUUCAUACAGAGGUUCACAGGAAGGUCUUCAAGUGACCAACAGUGGUUGAACAAGGGAUAAGGGCUGGAGCCAACGCUUCGACAAAAGGACUUGUCUUCGUCAGGGCCCUGAUAAAGACAAGUCCCCUUGUCAAAAUGUUGGCCUCAGAGAUCUGACAGUCUGACAACUGUUGAUCACAUAUAUAGGAUAGUAACUAAUGAAUAUGAAAACUAAAAGAAUAAAAGUUCUUC
rnacentral:lncRNA from 1 species